GAACGCUGGCGGCAGGCUUAACACAUGCAAGUCGAGCGGGGAAAGGUAGCUUGCUACCUGACCUAGCGGCGGACGGGUGAGUAAUGCUUAGGAAUCUGCCUAUUAGUGGGGGACAACAUUCCGAAAGGAAUGCUAAUACCGCAUACGCCCUACGGGGGAAAGCAGGGGAUCUUCGGACCUUGCGCUAAUAGAUGAGCCUAAGUCAGAUUAGCUAGUUGGUGGGGUAAAGGCCUACUAAGGCGACGAUCUGUAGCGGGUCUGAGAGGAUGAUCCGCCACACUGGGACUGAGACACGGCCCAGACUCCUACGAGAGGCAGCAGUGGGGAAUAUUGGACAAUGGGCGAAAGCCUGAUCCAGCCAUGCCGCGUGUGUGAAGAAGGCCUUUUGGUUGUAAAGCACUUUAAGCGAGGAGGAGGCUACUUAGAUUAAUACUCUAAGAUAGUGGACGUUACUCGCAGAAUAAGCACCGGCUAACUCUGUGCCAGCAGCCGCGGUAAUACAGAGGGUGCGAGCGUUAAUCGGAUUUACUGGGCGUAAAGCGUGCGUAGGCGGCUUUUUAAGUCGGAUGUGAAAUCCCUGAGCUUAACUUAGGAAUUGCAUUCGAUACUGGGAAGCUAGAGUAUGGGAGAGGAUGGUAGAAUUCCAGGUGUAGCGGUGAAAUGCGUAGAGAUCUGGAGGAAUACCGAUGGCGAAGGCAGCCAUCUGGCCUAAUACUGACGCUGAGGUACGAAAGCAUGGGGAGCAAACAGGAUUAGAUACCCUGGUAGUCCAUGCCGUAAACGAUGUCUACUAGCCGUUGGGGCCUUUGAGGCUUUAGUGGCGCAGCUAACGCGAUAAGUAGACCGCCUGGGGAGUACGGUCGCAAGACUAAAACUCAAAUGAAUUGACGGGGGCCCGCACAAGCGGUGGAGCAUGUGGUUUAAUUCGAUGCAACGCGAAGAACCUUACCUGGUCUUGACAUAGUAAGAACUUUCCAGAGAUGGAUUGGUGCCUUCGGGAACUUACAUACAGGUGCUGCAUGGCUGUCGUCAGCUCGUGUCGUGAGAUGUUGGGUUAAGUCCCGCAACGAGCGCAACCCUUUUCCUUAUUUGCCAGCGGGUUAAGCCGGGAACUUUAAGGAUACUGCCAGUGACAAACUGGAGGAAGGCGGGGACGACGUCAAGUCAUCAUGGCCCUUACGACCAGGGCUACACACGUGCUACAAUGGUCGGUACAAAGGGUUGCUACCUAGCGAUAGGAUGCUAAUCUCAAAAAGCCGAUCGUAGUCCGGAUUGGAGUCUGCAACUCGACUCCAUGAAGUCGGAAUCGCUAGUAAUCGCGGAUCAGAAUGCCGCGGUGAAUACGUUCCCGGGCCUUGUACACACCGCCCGUCACACCAUGGGAAUUUGUUGCACCAGAAGUAGGUAGUCUAACCGCAAGGAGGACGCUUACCACGGUGUGGCCGAUGACUGGGGU
rnacentral:rRNA from 1 species